rnacentral:rRNA from 1 species
GAUGAACGCUGGCGGCGUGCCUAAUACAUGCAAGUCGAGCGAACGGACGAGAAGCUUGCUUCUCUGAUGUUAGCGGCGGACGGGUGAGUAACACGUGGAUAACCUACCUAUAAGACUGGGAUAACUUCGGGAAACCGGAGCUAAUACCGGAUAAUAUUUUGAACCGCAUGGUUCAAAAGUGAAAGACGGUCUUGCUGUCACUUAUAGAUGGAUCCGCGCUGCAUUAGCUAGUUGGUAAGGUAACGGCUUACCAAGGCAACGAUGCAUAGCCGACCUGAGAGGGUGAUCGGCCACACUGGAACUGAGACACGGUCCAGACUCCUACGGGAGGCAGCAGUAGGGAAUCUUCCGCAAUGGGCGAAAGCCUGACGGAGCAACGCCGCGUGAGUGAUGAAGGUCUUCGGAUCGUAAAACUCUGUUAUUAGGGAAGAACAUAUGUGUAAGUAACUGUGCACAUCUUGACGGUACCUAAUCAGAAAGCCACGGCUAACUACGUGCCAGCAGCCGCGGUAAUACGUAGGUGGCAAGCGUUAUCCGGAAUUAUUGGGCGUAAAGCGCGCGUAGGCGGUUUUUUAAGUCUGAUGUGAAAGCCCACGGCUCAACCGUGGAGGGUCAUUGGAAACUGGAAAACUUGAGUGCAGAAGAGGAAAGUGGAAUUCCAUGUGUAGCGGUGAAAUGCGCAGAGAUAUGGAGGAACACCAGUGGCGAAGGCGACUUUCUGGUCUGUAACUGACGCUGAUGUGCGAAAGCGUGGGGAUCAAACAGGAUUAGAUACCCUGGUAGUCCACGCCGUAAACGAUGAGUGCUAAGUGUUAGGGGGUUUCCGCCCCUUAGUGCUGCAGCUAACGCAUUAAGCACUCCGCCUGGGGAGUACGACCGCAAGGUUGAAACUCAAAGGAAUUGACGGGGACCCGCACAAGCGGUGGAGCAUGUGGUUUAAUUCGAAGCAACGCGAAGAACCUUACCAAAUCUUGACAUCCUUUGACAACUCUAGAGAUAGAGCUUUCCCCUUCGGGGGACAAAGUGACAGGUGGUGCAUGGUUGUCGUCAGCUCGUGUCGUGAGAUGUUGGGUUAAGUCCCGCAACGAGCGCAACCCUUAAGCUUAGUUGCCAUCAUUAAGUUGGGCACUCUAAGUUGACUGCCGGUGACAAACCGGAGGAAGGUGGGGAUGACGUCAAAUCAUCAUGCCCCUUAUGAUUUGGGCUACACACGUGCUACAAUGGACAAUACAAGGGGCAGCGAAACCGCGAGGUCAAGCAAAUCCCAUAAAGUUGUUCUCAGUUCGGAUUGUAGUCUGCAACUCGACUACAUGAAGCUGGAAUCGCUAGUAAUCGUAGAUCAGCAUGCUACGGUGAAUACGUUCCCGGGUCU